rnacentral:lncRNA from 1 species
CUAUAUGCAUAUAUAUGAUUUUUUUUUCAGUCUGAGUAAAUUAUAGGAAAUACUGCUUUUAUUUUUUUUCCUAAAUAAAUGGAAAUGGGAGGCUGGCACAUUAAGGCAAUGUAGGAACCUAAUGUACAGGGGCAGAGGGACUACUUCCGAAAGAGCUAAAUCUUUAUCCGUGUAAGCCAGACUGCCCGUGAUCUCGUUACACCGCAGAGAGCUUGCAAGCAUUGCUCCCCAAUCACAAAGAAAAAUCAGCGUGCAAGUGACCUGUGUAUUAGCAUCUCUGCAAAUCUCAGGCAGGAGCUGAGAUUUAUAUACAGUUUACACACCCCUGAGGAAAUACCCAUUUUAUGCCAUCGAUAGGCCAGAUGUAUUUUCCUCUGUGAAAUGUGAUCAGAAUGUAAUUAGAAGAAAAUAUUCUAUGUAUUCAAAAACAAAUACACAGUAUUCUUUAAAACUCCAUGGCAAUUUAGAACAGGAGGCGAUAUCAAAUUAGAGGAGUUGUGUGGAAGUGUUAUUAUUGCGUGAUCAGGCCUAUGAAGUUAUAUUUGUGAUAGUGGGAUGAUCAGCGUGCUAUAUAGCCAUUGAGCUGAAUUGAAAAUUUCAUGUGUUUGAAAAAACUUUGAAGAGGAUUACUAAUUCUUUUUUUUUUUUUUUUUUUCCCUCCAGAACCAAUUUUACAUAGAAAGAGAAAAAAAAUGAAGAUGGUUUUGGGGAAAAAACACACACAUUUCUAAUAAAACUUGCUAGAGCAAUCAUACAGACUGCUAUUAUUCUACUGCAUCUGUGCAUUUUACUGUAACAAAGUGAUUAAUAUGCUUCAAAAUUUGAACUUAUGGACUCAACUAUUUUAGUGUCAUAUCCAAAUACACAAAAACCCUACACAUCUAAUUUCUAUGUAAUACCAAGUAGUAUACAAUUAUAUGUGUAUUUAUAAUGUUUAGGCAUUUGAAUGGAUUGUGUGACAUAAGUGUGGACAAUUAUAUACAGGAACAUGAAUAAAACAUGUUCAAAUGCAUAAACAAGGCAGAUACCAGCCAAAAGACCUGUAUAUAUGCAUGACGAAUUAGGAUGAUAAUUCGCCUUUUAAUCUCUCCUAGACUUUGGAUCACAAUAUUAUAUAUAAGACUGAAUACUUUAUGGGAAAUAUAUGGGGAAAAAGGCAUAAUUUAUAACCUAAAUACUACAAGGAUUUUAAUCCUUUUUUUUAUAUGAACCGAAAAAGGUGAGUUUCUCAACCUCUCUGAAGAGGUCCAAAGAGAGGAUAGAUUAGUGGUCUUGGAUUUAAACUCAGGAUUAACAGGACUUGCCCCAAACUGAAGGUAUUAGGAGCCAAAUUUACGAAGCAGAAUAUUCUCAUAAGCAGCUUCUGGCCUCAUCUGGGAUUAUUGAUGGGUUCCAAGGAACUAGUAAUUCAUAGAUUUACUCUGGUAUUUGUCAAACCUUGUAAAUGUGAAGAAUGUCUGAAGAGAAGGAGGGUUGAUGGCUACACAUUAAGGAUUAAAUAAGACAUGGCACUUAAAAAACAUGGCCCUGAAUGCUUGGAUAUUCCUCCCACUGCGAGGCUGGCCCAUGUCCCUUCCCUUUGAAUCAAGUUGGGUUUGACUGUUUCAACACAUAGCAUGCAGUGGAAGUGAUGUCAUGUGAUUUUGAAUCUCCAUCAGAAGGGACUGUGCAGUGUUCACCCCGUUCUUUGGGAAUGUUCUCUCCAGGAGAAGCCGGCCACCUGGUAAAGACAUCUCCACAUGCCAAGACCACCAUGCUGGAGAGGCACCUAUGGGCCCUCUGGCUGACAGGGUGUCUUUGCAGGUCCUGAAGAGCAGAGAUAAGCCAUGCUCCCUUUUCCUUCUCCAGAUCUCUGACUCUCAGAGUCUGUGGGAAUAAUAAAGUUGUUAUUUUAUGCCACUUUUGGGGUGUUUGGUUCUCAGCAACAGUUACUGAGACAAGCCCAUAUUUCCCAAACUUAUCUUUAAUAAUUAUCACUUGGGGAAUAUGUUAGAAACAGGUUCCCACAUUGCACUCACAGACGUUCUGACUUAAGAGGUCUGGCCAGGGUAGGAAUGGAAAAAUCUAUUUUUAACAAACAGUAAGGAAAGUUAACUAUAGUAAAAUGACCCCAAGAUGCCAAAUGAUUUGUUGGCCAGUUUGGAUAUAUGGCUUCUUAAUGGCAAACAUAUUUCUCUGCGGUGGCGUGGGUUUGAUCCCUGUGGACUAAAGAUCCCGCAUUGCUACAGCUGUAGUGUGGGUCAAAGCUGCAGCUUGGGUUUGGUCUCCGGCUGAUGAACUUCCAUAUGUUGUGGAUGCUGC